rnacentral:rRNA from 1 species
AGAGUUUGAUCCUGGCUCAGGACGAACGCUGGCGGCGUGCCUAAUACAUGCAAGUCGAGCGAGCUUGCCUAGAUGAUUUUAGUGCUUGCACUAAAUGAAACUAGAUACAAGCGAGCGGCGGACGGGUGAGUAACACGUGGGUAACCUGCCCAUGAGACUGGGAUAACACCUGGAAACAGAUGCUAAUACCGGAUAACAACACUAGACGCAUGUCUAGAGUUUGAAAGAUGGUUCUGCUAUCACUCUUGGAUGGACCUGCGGUGCAUUAGCUAGUUGGUAAGGUAACGGCUUACCAAGGCAAUGAUGCAUAGCCGAGUUGAGAGACUGAUCGGCCACAUUGGGACUGAGACACGGCCCAAACUCCUACGGGAGGCAGCAGUAGGGAAUCUUCCACAAUGGACGAAAGUCUGAUGGAGCAACGCCGCGUGAGUGAAGAAGGGUUUCGGCUCGUAAAGCUCUGUUGGUAGUGAAGAAAGAUAGAGGUAGUAACUGGCCUUUAUUUGACGGUAAUUACUUAGAAAGUCACGGCUAACUACGUGCCAUCAGCCGCGGUAAUACAUAGGUGGCAAGCGUUGUCCGGAUUUAUUGAGCGCAAAGCGAGUGCAGGCGGUUCAAUAAGUCUGAUGUGAAAGCCUUCGGCUCAACCGGAGAAUUGCAUCAGAAACUGUUGAACUUGAGUGCAGAAGAGGAGAGUGGAACUCCAUGUGUAGCGGUGGAAUGCGUACAUAUAUGGAAGAACACCAGUGGCGAAGGCGGCUCUCUGGUCUGCAACUGACGCUGAGGCUCGAAAGCAUGGGUAGCGAACAAGAUUAGAUACCCCGGUAGUCCAUGCCGUAAACGAUGAGUGCUAAAUUUUUGGGAGGUUUCCGCCUCUCAGUGCUUGCAGCUAACGCAUUAAGCACUCCCGCCUGGGGAGUACGACCGCAAGGUUGAAACUCAAAGGAAUUGCCGGGGGCCCGCACAAGCGGUGGAGCAUGUGGUAAAAUUCGAAGCAACGCGAAGAACCUUCCCAGGUCUUGACAUCCAGUGCAAGCAUAAGAGAUUAGGUGUUCCCUUCGGGCACGCUGAGACAGGUGGUGCAUGGCUGUCGUCAGCUUGUGUCGAGAGAUGUUGGGUUAAGUCCCGCAACGAGCGCACCCCUCGUCACUAGUUGCCAUCAUAAAGUUGGGCACUCUAAUGAGACUGCCGGUGACAACCCGGAGGAAGGUGGGGAUGACGUCAAGUCAUCAUGCCCCUUAUGACCUGGGCUACACACGUGCUACAAUGGACGGUACAGCGAGAAGCGAACCAGCGAAGGCAAGCGGAUCUCUUAAAGCCGUUCUCAGUUCGGACUGUAGCCUGCAACUCGCCUACACGAAGCUGGAAUCGCUAGUAAUCGCGGAUCAGCACGCCGCGGUGAAUACGUUCCCGGGCCUUGCACACACCGCCCGUCA